GGGAGAGAGUUUGUAGUUUUAGAGUUUGUAGAGAGUUUAGUAAUUAAGGGAUUAAAGUGGAUUAAAUUAAUGUAGAAAACAUUUAUUUAUCUGUAUCUGAAGCUCUGCUGCUGCACAGAGUGAUGUUGGAGUUUAGUAGCGCUUAGAGGAGAACAUUAAUCACACAGUUCUGAACUGCUGGUUUUAAAGGGAGAAACUCUCUGUUUGCUGUUCUGGUUGUGGGUCUCGUGAGAAGAAGCUGCUGCUGCUGCUGAGCUGAAUUUUACUCCAAUAAACCAGGUUCUUAACACCCCCCCCCCCCCUCUUUUACAGAGGAUGGACUCACCCAGGCUGAUUGGUUCAGAGGUACGGGUACUGGUUGAGCUUCCUCUGGUUAAGCGGGUACGCCGCCGGUCGCUGGUACGGUUGCCCGGGUAACUGUUGCUGUGGCGGCUGCUGAUAGGGGCAGGAGGCCUGGCUCAUCAGACCCAUGGCGUUGCUCUUCUGCAGGAGGCUGAGGGAGGCGGAGUAAGGGCCGGGGGCGCGGUUGUGGCGGCCGGAGGAGGCGGUGCCUGCGGAGGAAGAGGCGGAGCUGGUGGAGUGGUGCAGCUGAUCCACGGCCUGUGAGACGGAUGCCAGCGCUGCGGAGGCGGGGUAAGCGUACAGGUUGGGGGUGGAGCUAAAGAGAGAAGCCUCAUGCAGCCUGUAGGAGUGGGAGGAGCUUGGCGGGGGAUAGGUGGGCUGACGCCUGAGGGACCCGCCUCCUGACCUGUCGUGGGAUGAUGACAUCACGGACUGCUGCAUCUGCAACCUGCUGUAUGGUGUACCUGGCUCAGGUUGAGGGGCUGAGAUUUGGUGGACGCCGCUCUCUGAUGCCUCUCGCUCGACACUCCGGACUUGGUCGACUGAAGAGCCGAGCUCUUCUUCGAUUUUCCAGAAACAUGUGAGAUUUGCUCUGAAAACAAAUAAAUAAAUGAAUAAAGUUAUAAUCAU